AUUGAACGCUGGCGGCAGGCCUAACACAUGCAAGUCGAGCGGAUGAAGGGAGCUUGCUCCUGGAUUCAGCGGCGGACGGGUGGGUAAUGCCUAGGAAUCUGCCUGGUAGUGGGGGAUAACGUCCGGAAACGGGCGCUAAUACCGCAUACGUCCUGAGGGAGAAAGUGGGGGAUCUUCGGACCUCACGCUAUCGGAUAAGCCUAGGUCGGAUUAGCGAGUUGGUGGGGUAAAGGCCUACCAAGGCGACGAUCCGUAACUGGUCUGAGAGGAUGAUCAGUCACACUGGAACUGAGACACGGUCCAGACUCCUACGGGAGGCAGCAGUGGGGAAUAUUGGACAAUGGGCGAAAGCCUGAUCCAGCCAUGCCGCGUGUGUGAAGAAGGUCUUCGGAUUGUAAAGCACUUUAAGUUGGGAGGAAGGGCAGUAAGUUAAUACCUUGCUGUUUUGACGUUACCAACAGAAUAAGCACCGGCUAACUUCGUG
rnacentral:rRNA from 1 species